GACGAACGCUGGCGGCGUGCCUAAUACAUGCAAGUCGAGCGAGCUUGCCUAGAUGAUUUUAGUGCUUGCACUAAAUGAAACUAGAUACAAGCGAGCGGCGGACGGGUGAGUAACACGUGGGUAACCUGCCCAAGAGACUGGGAUAACACCUGGAAACAGAUGCUAAUACCGGAUAACAACACUAGACGCAUGUCUAGAGUUUGAAAGAUGGUUCUGCUAUCAAUCUUGGAUGGACCUGCGGUGCAUUAGCUAGUUGGUAAGGUAACGGCUUACCAAGGCAAUGAUGCAUAGCCGAGUUGAGAGACUGAUCGGCCACAUUGGGACUGAGACACGGCCCAAACUCCUACGGGAGGCAGCAGUAGGGAAUCUUCCACAAUGGACGAAAGUCUGACGGAGCAACACCGCGUGAGUGAAGAAGGGUUUCGGCUCGUAAAGCUCUGUUGGUAGUGAAGAAAGAUAGAGGUAGUAACUGGCCUUUAUUUGACGGUAAUUGCCUAGAAAGUCACGGCUAACUACGUGCCAGCAGCCGCCGUAAGAC
rnacentral:rRNA from 1 species